rnacentral:rRNA from 1 species
GAUAAACGCUGGCGGUGUGCUUUAUGCAUGCAAGUCGUACGGUAUUAACAGACCAAGCUUGCUUGGUCUGUUAAGAGAGUGGCAGACGGGUGAGUAACGCGUAAGUAAUCUGCCCUCAAGUAGGGGAUAACCUUGAGAAAUUGGGGCUAAUACCUUAGUGGUGGUGGAGGUAAUGCUUCAUCACUAAAGCCGCAAGGCGCUUGGGGAGGAACUUGCGUCCGAUUAGCUUGUUGGUAGGGUAACGGCUUACCAAGGCGAUGAUCGGUAGCUGGUCUGAGAGGAUGGUCAGCCACACUGGGACUGAGAUACGGCCCAGACUCCUACGGGAGGCAGCAGCAAGGAAUAUUGGGCAAUGGGCGAAAGCCUGACCCAGCGACACCGCGUGGGGGAUGACGGCCUUCGGGUUGUAAACCCCUUUUCUCAGGGAAGAAAAAAAUGACGGUACCUGAGGAAUAAGUCUCGGCUAACUACGUGCCAGCAGCCGCGGUAAUACGUAGGAGGCGAGCGUUAUCCGGAUUUACUGGGCGUAAAGGGGGCGUAGGCGGCUUUUCAAGUUGGAUGUGAAAUCUCCCUGCUUAACGGGGAGGGGUCAUUCAAUACUGUUAAGCUGGAGGGCAGCAGAGGAAGGUGGAAUUCCCGGUGUAGUGGUGAAAUGCGUAGAUAUCGGGAGGAACACCAGUGGCGAAGGCGGCCUUCUGGGCUGUUCCUGACGCUGAGGCCCGAAAGCGCGGGGAGCGAACAGGAUUAGAUACCCUGGUAGUCCGCGCAGUAAACGAUGGACACUUGGUAUAGGGAGUAUCGACCCUCUCUGUGCCUUAGUUAACGCGUUAAGUGUCCCGCCUGGGGAGACGGCCGCAAGGCU